GCGCUGCUGACGAGUCCCGAACAGGAUGAAACCGCUGUCCAGUAC
rnacentral:hammerhead_ribozyme from 1 species